rnacentral:lncRNA from 1 species
ACCAAAAUCCAUAGAUACUCAAGUCCCUUAUUCUGUCCUCUGUAUCCGCGGGUUCUACAUCCUAGAAUUCAACCAACUGCAAAUGGGGUACGAAGUUUAGGAUCCGCAGUUGGUUGAAUCCCCGGAUGUGAAACUCGCAGAUAUGGAGAGCCGACUGGAUAUCUAGUAGAGAGCUGCAAUUUUCUUUAGCUUGUCCCAAGCUAACGUUUUUGGUGGAUUACAGAAAGAAUAAAAUCGUGGUGGAUCACUUCAGACUGGGAACCAGAAACCACACCUGAAAAUAUGGACAUUCCCUAUAAAGAACACAACAAAAAUGAAAGAACAAUGAAUGAAUCACUCUCAUGGC